UCGGAAGUGGCUUGACUGCGGGAAAUACAAAAUAUGUUUACGGUGAAAGAUACUGGACAAAAACGAGAGGAAGAGCCUGAGGGUGGAAUACAGGUCAUACCUUGGCCGGGUCGGAGAUGAGGAUCGAUCUUCAAUAACAUGAGAAAAAUCCAAGUCCAAGACAGAGUUGGCGGUAAUCGGCACCACCUCGGCCGCGCACCUGUUGCCAAUCAGCACUCUACACUGCCUGCAUUUAAGCCUGCCAGAUCCAAGACUCCACUGCCAGAGUAUUAACAUUCAACUGUGUGCUCCUUCCGUGUUCCCCACUUUGCUGACCUCUUCCACCAUGCCGCCAAGCCAUCCACCCGCUCACGCCACUGCAUGCUCCCUGUCUUGAAAACCCGCCAGUUCGCCUCAAGGAUCCAUCUCUGACUCCCUUCACAAUAAACAUUUCUCCACAAACUUC